UGGUUUAAUUCGAAGCAACGCGAAGAACCUUACCAGGUCUUGACAUCUUUUGAUCACCUGAGAGAUCAGGUUUCCCCUUCGGGGGCAAAAUGACAGGUGGUGCAUGGUUGUCGUCAGCUCGUGUCGUGAGAUGUUGGGUUAAGUCCCGCAACGAGCGCAACCCUUAUGACUAGUUGCCAGCAUUUAGUUGGGCACUCUAGUAAGACUGCCGGUGACAAACCGGAGGAAGGUGGGGAUGACGUCAAAUCAUCAUGCCCCUUAUGACCUGGGCUACACACGUGCUACAAUGGAUGGUACAACGAGUUGCGAGACCGCGAGGUCAAGCUAAUCUCUUAAAGCCAUUCUCAGUUCGGACUGUAGGCUGCAACUCGCCUACACGAAGUCGGAAUCGCUAGUAAUCGCGGAUCAGCACGCCGCGGUGAAUACGUUCCCGGGCCUUGUACACACCGCCCGUCACACCAUGAGAGUUUGUAACACCCGAAGCCGGUGGCGUAACCCUUU
rnacentral:rRNA from 2 species